rnacentral:lncRNA from 1 species
UUAUUUCUUUUCUUUUUAUUUAUUCUUUCUUGUUUUAUUUUAGUUAUAUUUUAUUUUAGUUUCUUUAAAAUACUAAGUUAGCACCUAAAUUAGUAUCAUCAAAAUAGGCCACUGCCAAACCUAGUUUCGACUCAAAAUAAAUUAGUUUAAUAUUUUUUAUACUUUCAAAGGCAAUUAAAUUAUUAUUUUAGCCACUAUUUUGAAUUAGUUUAGGGCAUUUAAACACAUUGUAAAAGGUGGGUUCCACCACCAAAACUAGUUAGGUAUUAUUUGCCACAUGAUGAACAUUUUAGUUUUAAUAUUUGAAAACUUUUAUUGUUUGGUUGAUUUUGAAUCGGUUUCGAACUGACGCGAGAUUAGCAACAGUAAUCGAAGUGAUGUGGCAUCAUUAGCAGAGGGUUGCUGUAGUUUAAUUAUCCGGGCGUCACAAAUCUCCUCUACUACAAGAAAUCUCGUCCCGAGAUUUAAGAGAUGGAGUACGGGGGAAGUUCUGGUUACGAAAUUCUAACGGAACUUCUCGGCCUUGGUUGCUCUUCUCGAAGAGGUCUAUCCCUUACAUUGACGUCUUCAUUUCCCUGCUUCAGGUCAUCAUGGUGAAGUCGUCCUUUUCUUCGGGAACUCCAAUGUACUUACGAAUAGGUAAGGGGCAGCUCGACUAUGACAGAAUGCUUAUGAGGGAAACAAUCUGGGGUUAACCCAUGAAUGUGCAUAAUUUUAUCUCUCUAGUUGAACAUAUAAAAUACAUCGAGAGUAAGGUACGAAGGUACAAUAAGAGGUUCCAAGCAGAUAGAUACUUGCUCGAAGUCUGAACCAGAGUGAGAAAGGGGUUCAGAGCAGCGAGAGUAAGUAUUGCAUCUGAUAUCAGAAUAGAGCACUAGGAAGGUGGCCCGUGAAUUAAAUACGAAGCCAAGCAUGGGGAAUAACCAUUAGAAACAGGAUUGUACAGGAGAGUCAGGUUUCGAUCCAGUGGAACUAUGGGUUAUGGGCCCACCAUGUGGGUUAAGGUAAGAGGGGCGGCGACAUCUUGCGCGGUCAUGAUAGCAAGGUAUGUCCGAAAAUAGUCUGUCAGUUAUGUCGCCAACAACGUCGGUGCCAAGGGCGAGGGACAAAGAGAACCAUUUUCCUGCUCGUUGAACGAGGCGGACCAAUAGGCAAAGUUCUCGUCCAUGGGUGGUUACCGGAAUGUCAUCAACAGUAGAAACAGGGUCCCACUGACAGAGUUGUACAUCGAGGUGUUUACAUAAGCAGUGAAUUAUUACUGCUUAGAUCAUAUAGAUCACAAGAAAGGUUAAACAAACCGAUGGAAUGGAAGAUGUGCUCAUCAGACUAAACAGAACAAUGGAAAGGAAAAUGUGUUUAAACACAUAUUUCAGGGGUAUAUCCUUCCCAAGGACAAGCAUAGCCUGAUUUCCAUGGCAUGAUAGAACGUGAAAACCAUGUAGGUAAGGGGAGAGGACUUUUCAUGACAUUACCCAUACAACGGUGUUUGGAUGAUUGAUAAAGAAAAUUUAGUAUUUGCUUCAAGUGUUCUCAUUGAAGAUCAGAGUACCACAGACAUGCUUCGAGAUAGCAUUGACAUGGUCUUCAAGCAAUGGUCGGACUUUGGAUACAAGAAGAAUUCGUCAGGAACAACUUGUAGAAUAAGUCUUACAUUUCCCUCAUGGCAGAAUGGGUAAGUUUGCUGAAAAGGAAACUAUAACAAUAGGGCCUCUGGCCAAGUGUGCUAGGCAUGACAUCACCUUACCGGGUCAUUUAAAGACCAAUGUUAUAACUCUGGGAAAUAUGUUCCAACCAUCAUAUCUGACCGAGAUUCAGAUCCAAUUGGGGUCAAAAUAUCUCAGACUCAGGAUGCGUGAGAAGAAAUGGUGCAACACAGAUUGAGGAGAUGACAUUGUAAGAUUCUCGGAAAAUGAACAAUGGAAGCAAAUUCUGAAACAAGCGUUCAUCAUUAAAUCAAGGAGAGGGGAGGAGAUGGCUGGUGGACUCAGUGCUAAUUAAUUGAGAUUUCCAAAAAGAUGGAUUUCCUAAUUAUAUGAACAAAGAGAUAACAUUUGCCAGAUCAAAUGAUAUAAUGAUGUAUGCUCGAGGAAAGCAUACAUAAUUAACAUUGGUUGAAGGGUGCACCCAAAAUAUGGGCUUAGGUAGCAUGAUCAAGGUUAGAAUGGUGAUUCCAUGACCAAUGGUCUAAGAGUGAAAUGUUGACCAUUAACUUCAAAGCAAUAGGGUCGCUAGAAGUACAGAAUCCAAGCAGCACUGCUCACUUGUUGGUGUCCCGGUUAGAAUCAACACGGGGACCAAGAAAGAAUGGUGAUGGUGUGAAGUAUCAUAAUAUCAAGAAUUAUUAAAGAGGUGGAGCAAUUCUCACAACAUCCUUGAUAUAAAAGAUGAAAAUAAUCCAAGGUGGAACAUAACAAAAGCUGGAUAGCAAGGAGCUCCAUAACAUGAACAAGUUUGGGUUGGAGGGAAGGCAAUAAUGUUGUUGAUGAUAACACAAAUCACCGAGGGGAAAGGAUGGUAUUUCUCAUCAAGAAUUCGAUUAUUAUUCUUGAAGAGCUCAGAAUGUUGAUGAUGUUCAUGACAUAUUUGUCGCGAGAUUUCAAGAAUAUGUAAUCGAUCGGCGACGACAUCAAGUCAAAGGAAUGAUGAAACGAAAGGUUAUUGGAACCAAUGGUACGACACAAACUCGAAAUCAAGCUUGCUGUCCAAGGUGAAAUGAUACGACGAGGAAGAUCGGCGUAAGAUUAGCUCAUCGUUGAAAGUUGUGCUCCGGGAUUAAGGACCAAGUAGCAUAGUUUAAAAUUUAGUAAGAUAAUGAUGUAACUAAUUAGGCUAGGAAUGACUCAUAGGAUUAUUAAACUCCUCAACAACAAAGUACUGAUUUUUUUUACUUCUCAACAUGGAGGGCUAAUAUAUUGACAACGUACAUUAUAUUUCUAAAAUCCUAGCCCGCGCAUCGAGCGGGCCACUAUGCUAGUUAUCCAGAAUAGUGUAUGCUGACGUCAUCAUGAUGUCAGCAUGACAUCAGCAGUCAACAGGGCGUUGACUGGGUCAAUCUGACGUGUGGGUCCUGCAUGUCAUACUCUGUUUAUUCUAAUUAGGGUUGAACUAAUCUUAUCACUGUUUAAUUAACUAACAAUAUUUAAUUAGGUUAACUAAACAUGAUUAAUUAAGUUAAUUAAUUAAUUAAUUAAAUUUAUUUUUAUUAUUUAUUUAUUUUUAAUCUUUUUUUAAAAACGUUGCAAGGCGGUGGGGCCCCUUUGUCAUAGGCACCUGGGGGCUUAACGAAGCGGGCUAACGGGCGCGGGCGAGGCUGCCCGAGCGGGCGCACGCCCAGGUGCGGCGGACCCGGCAAGGUGCUGGAGGAGGGGAGGUCGGUGGCCACGACGAGGCCAUUGCCGGAGCGGGUUCGGUCGGCGGGUGGCGAUGUGAUUGCAGAGGCGGGGCGGAGCUGAGGGAUUGAAGCGGGGCGAGGGGAGGAGGGGCGGCACGCUGGCCGUGGCCGGUGGAGAAGCGGUUGCGGGGAGGUGCGUCGGGCAAGGGGCAGCAGGGGGAAACGGCGGCGAUGUACAUGACGGGUGCGUCGCUGGGUAGCGAUCGACGCGGCGGCGUGUAGGCGGCUGCGGGGUGCGGAGAGGGGCUGCAGCAGGUGAGGCCUGGUGCGUCGCGGUCGUGCCGCGUGGAGGUGAGGCGGGGCGCAGGUCGUCGCCAAUGAGCGAGCGGCAGCCGGCGGAGAUGGACGGAACGGGCGCCGUGGCUGCAGGUUUGGGCGGAGCAGUGGGCGGUGGCAUGUGCGAUCGUCGAUGGGGGAGAGGGAGGAGAUAAGGCCGGAGCCUCACCGCGGGCCGUAGGGUCAGGGUAGCGGUUGUCGAGGAGGGGGACGGGGACGACACGCGGUGGGGAGUAGAUCCGGUACGGAAGCGUUCCGGCGACGUGGUGGCGGUGACGAAGGGCAACGGCAUCGGGUCGGCGAUGAGGCGAGGCCGUGGCUUCAGGCGGGAGCUUCACGAGGAAGUGGAGGGGCGCGGAGGAGUCCGGGAGGGGCGGCACCGGCGGCAGCUGGCGGCGGCCCUAGCGGAGCGGCGGCUUGCAUCAGGCGUGGGCGUGCGGGAGGAGGGGAUCGAACAGGAGCGCCCUUCCUCCGCGCGUCGGUGUGUGUGUGUGUGUGUGUGUGUGUGCGUCGUGGGUGGCGGCGUAGGGAGGAAUCAGGGGAGAGUGGGGGGAUCGUGCGGGAGAGAGUGGGGGUUACGGGUUAGGGUUUCCCCCGGAGUGGGGAUAUGGAGGAGGGGAGUGGGGCGCCGGCUGGGCCGUGUGGGUGGGCUGCCCGACUGGGCCGGCCAGUUGGCCUAGGCCCAAAGGUAGUGGGGUGGUUUUAGUAUUUUUGCCUUUCCAUUUUAUUUUUGUUUUAUUUCUUUUCUUUUUAUUUAUUCUUUCUUGUAUUAUUUUAGUUAUAUUUUAUUUUAGUUUCUUUAAAAUACUAAGUUAGCACCUAAAUUAGUAUCAUCAAAAUAGGCCAGUGCCAAACCUAGUUUCGACUCAAAAUAAAUUAGUUUAAUAUUUUUUAUACUUUCAAAGGCAAUUAAAUUAUUAUUUUAGCCACUAUUUUGAAUUAGUUUAGGGCAUUUAAACAUUUUGUAAAAGGUGGGUUCCACCACCAAAACUAGUUAGGGAUUAUUUGCCACAUGAUAAACACUUUGUAAAAGGAUGGUAUUUCUCAUCAAGAAUUCGGUUAUUAUUCUUGAAGAGCUCAGAAUGUUGAUGAUGUUCAUGACAUAUUUGUCGCGAGAUUUCAAGAAUAUGUAAUCGAUCGGCGACGACAUCAAGUCAAAGGAAUGAUGAAACGAAAGGUUAUUGGAACCAAUGGUACGACACAAACUCGAAAUCAAG